AGAAAGAUAUGCUCUAAUAAUUUUGUACAUCAUACGAAAUACUUUCCAGGAUCAGUACAGGAUUUGCUUUGCAGCAAAGAUACAAUUGUGACAAUAAUUUAUUAGCAGAAACGUGUGAAGCUUUACAAAUUUUAAAAACCAAGGCAAGAAGACACUAUCAGGUAUAUCAUUCACCUUUUUAUAUCUUCAUGUAAUGACUAAUUUUUUGUACUUCUCUAAAAUAUACAUUUGAAAGAUUGCCCUUUGUAAAUAUUACAAAACCAAAUAAUUUUACGUGUAGUGCUAAAAAUGACUUUGAGAGUACUUCGCCGUAGUAAUUCCCAUGGAGCAAUUGUCGUGCACUGAGAAACAACCACACUGUCACACCAAUAAUGCCAUACGCUGCAGCUCGAACCACGCAACACAACAAUCCUGAAAAGCAUGAUUGAUAAGAAUUAUAGGUUGUUUCUACAUGCAGCCAACAUCUCUUAUUUAGUGCAUACAUUGUUUUGUUUACGACAUUGUGCAUAAAGUACCUUUCAAAUAUUUGAUACUAUAUUGCUAAAAGAAUAUCAAAUGCAGAAAUGAAGGGACAGUAUACGUCAAAAUCAGCAGGCCCACUUGCAAAAGAAGCUAAAGAAGCUAUUAUCAGGAGGAAACAACAACUACAAGAAAAAAGGAGUAAGAGAUGCAGGAAUACACAGGAAACAACCAAUAAAAUAGAAGAAGGUGCUUCACGGAAGAGAAAGGAACAAAUCAAUGAAAUAAGAGAUGUCAAGCGUUCAAGGAGAAAUGGGAGGGACAAUGACCUUCAAAGCAACAUCAUAGAAACAAGCAGCAGCACUACGUCCAGAAGUUAUGAUAGCACGAUAUGGAACUUUGGAAAGCCAACAUAUAGAUGCGAACAUUGCAAUGCAAUACUAUGGUGUGAGGAAAGAUUAAAUUCUCAUAAAGGAACCAAAAAACCUUCUUUCGGAAUUUGCUGUAAACAAGGUAAGAUUGACCUACCAAAGAUAGCAUAUCCUCCACCUUAUCUCGCAGGACUAUUAACAGGUGAAGGAAGUGAUGCAACAAACUUCAAAGAAAACAUCAGGUCAUACAACUCAAUGUUCUCAUUCACAUCAAUGGGAGGAGCUGUUGACAAAGAAAUAAACAAAGGCAAAGGACCAUAUGUUUUUAGACUGCAUGGCCAGAACUACCACCAUAUCGGAAGUCUACUACCUGAAGAAGGUAACAAACCUCGAUUCGCCCAGCUAUACAUCUAUCAGACAGAAAAUGAGGUUCAAAACAGGAUAGAUGCUUCAAGAUGCAAUGAUAAAAAAUCAACGGUGAACACUGCCAUUGUCGAAAAACUACAAAAUAUGCUUGAUGAGAACAACAUCCUCGCGAAAUCUUUCAGAAUGGCAAGAGAUAGAUUCAAAGAAGAAGACUACCACGAUUACACACUUCGGAUACUUGGGAAAAGGAACGGAACACACAACCUUCCAUCUGCAUCGGAAGUUGCAGCAUUGGUUGUAAGAGAUCCAACUGGAGAGAGUGAAGGACGAGACAUCGUUGUCGAGUACAAAAAUAUGGAACCUCACAGAAUAUCAGAAAUCCAUCCAAAGUUCAUGUCGAUGCAAUACCCGAUGUUGUUUCCAUACGGAGAAGACGGCUUCAAGCUUGAAAUACCUUACAAGCGAAGAAAAGAAGGUGACAAAAGCAGGAAAUAUGUAACUAUGCUGGACUACUACGCAUACUACCUACAGCAAAGACCUGACCAAGGAAUGUCACUGCUAACGUCUAGACAUCUAUCGCUGCAAUUUUGGGUAGAUGUUUACACAUGCAUUGAGCAAAACAGACUAAACUGGAUCAGGAAUAAUCAAGGGAAGUUACGAACUGAACUUUAUAGUGGACUGCAAGACGCGAUUGAGCGAGGGGACACCAGAACAGAGCAGGUUGGAAAGAUGAUAAUUGUACCUUCAUCUUUUACAGGAGGCAGAAGAUACAAGGCACAGAACUUGCAAGACGCUUUUGCAAUAUGCCGUUGGGCUGGAUAUCCAGACCUGUUUAUAACAUUCACAUGCAAUGCAAAGUGGCCCGAGAUCCAAUACAUGCUAGAUGAAGCAGGAGGAGGCCUAAUCCAGCCGACCGGCCAGAUAUUGUUGAUCGAGUAUUCAUGAUAAAACUGAAGGAGUUGAUGAGAGACAUCGUUGUGAAGAAACACUUUGGAGAAACGAUAGCAAGUAAGAUCAGUCGACUACUCAUCGCAACUAAUAGCAUCUAAAUUUUUAAUAGUUUUAGCACACUAUAGCCUUUGUCUAUUUAAUAAAAUGCUUCUGAAAUGUAACAAAACCAAACUAUGUAUUCAAUCAAUGCAGUUAUCUACGCGAUAGAGUUCCAGAAGAGGGGACUCCCGCAUGCGCACAUACUGGUAUUCCUCAAAGAGAAUUACAAGUGCAAAGGACCAUCAGAAAUUGACCAAAUAAUCAGUGUGGAGAUCCCAGACAAAGAUGUCGAUCCGGACGGAUAUGCAGCUGUUGAGAAUUUCAUGAUGCACGGGCCUUGCGGAGAGGCAAAUACAAAAUCGCCAUGCAUGAUGGAGAACAGAUGUAGUAAACACUUCCCAAAAGGAUACAAUGUCGAUAGCACAAUCGAUGAGGAUGGCUUUCCAGUAUAUAGAAGGCGAGACAAUGGAAGGAAGAUUAAAAAGGGAGGAGCAAUGCUCGACAACAGAUUUGUCGUGCCAUACAACAGAAACCUUUUGGUCAAAUUCCAAGCUCACAUAAAUGUCGAGUGGUGCAACAGGUCCAGGUCAAUCAAGUACCUAUUUAAGUACAUCCAUAAAGACGACGACCAAGUAACAGCCUUACUAAAGGAAAGGGAUGCGGCAAACGAUUAUGAUGAAAUCAGGAAAUACCUAGAGAUGAGAUACAUAUCAACAACCGAAGCAUGCUGGCGGAUAUUCCAGUUUGAUCUUCACCAUCGUGAUCCACCCGUCGAGAGACUGCCAUUCCACAUUGAAAAUGAGCAACAAGUCAUUUUUCCGGACUCGACUGACAUCGAGAAGAUAGUAAGAAGACCAGGAUCCACAAGUACAAAGUUCACUGAGUGGAUGGAGGCAAACAAAAUACAUGAGGUGGGAAAAGAAUUAACCUAUGCAGAAUUCCCAUCAAAAUUUGUAUGGAAAAGUGAAAGCAAAACUUGGGAGGAGCGGAAAAGGGGCUUUGCGAUUGGAAGAAUCUACUAUGCACACCCUGCAAGUGGCGACCGGUAUUAUAUGAGAAUGCUUCUAAACACCAAGAAAGGAUGCACAUCAUUUGAGGAUAUUAGAACAGUUAAUGGAGUUGUUCACCCAACAUACAAAUCAGCAUGCCAAGCGCUUGGAUUUCUUGAUGACGAUGCUGAGUGGAUUGAAUGCAUCAAUGAAGCAUCAAGCUGGGGAUCAGGGACACAGUUACGACAACUAUUCACCACAAUUUUAUGCCAUUGUGAGGUGACCAGCCCAAAGAUGUUGUGGGAUUCAACAUGGGAGGCACUGUCUGAAGAUAUCCAGUACAAAAGAAGAAUUAUCCUAAACUUUCCUACGCUGCAGCUUACUGAUUCACAGAAAAAAGCAUAUGCUUUGAUUGAGAUAGAGAAACUAAUGAGGCAAGCAGGAAAGACACUAAAGGACUAUUCAGACAUAGAACUACCAAAUGCUAUAGAACUUGAACAACUUGGAAACAGGAUGAUAAACGAAGAACUCAGCUAUGACAUGGAGGCACUAAAGAGUGAGCACCAAAUAAUAAUAAACAAUCUUAACCACGACCAGAAAAUGGCUUUUGAUGCAAUAAUGGAAUCAGCUGAGAGAGGACUUGGAAAACAGAUAUUUGUAGAAGGCUAUGGUGGCACAGGGAAAACCUAUCUAUGGAAAGCAAUUACAACGAAGCUACAAUCAGAGGGAAAGAUAGUGCUUGCGGUAGCAUCAUCUGGCAUUGCAGCUUUGCUGCUCCAAGGUGGAAGAACAGCGCACUCAAGAUUCCACAUUCCAAUAAAUAUCACAGAAGAAUCAACAUGUGAAAUAAAACAAGGCUCACAUUUGGCUGAACUGGUAAAGAAGACCUCACUGAUACUGUGGGACGAGGCUCCUAUGGCAAACAAAAACUGCUUUGAGGCACUAGACAAAAGCCUUAGGGAUAUUCUAAGGUUCACAAACCAAAAUAGUGACGAAAGGCCAUUUGGUGGUAUGACAGUUGUGCUAGGAGGCGACUUCAGACAAAUACUUCCAGUGAUAACAAAGGGAAAGAGAGAGCACAUAGUAAAUGCCUCAAUCAAAAGGUCAUACCUAUGGAAGGACUUUCAAAUAUUUAGACUAACUGAAAACAUGCGGCUGAAGUGCCUGUCAGAAGAUCCAAUACAAAGGCAAAAUGUGGCUGAAUUUGCAGAAUGGAUAUUACAAAUUGGCGAUGGAAAAAAAACAAACGAUGAUGGAGAUGAUUGGGUAAGAAUACCUAAAGACAUAAUUCUACAUAAAGGAGAAGACCCCAAAGAAGAGAUAGUCAAAAGCACGUACCCAAACUUGCAACAAAACUAUCGUGACCGUGAAUUUCUCGAAGAAAGAGCAAUACUAUGCCCAAGGAAUGAAACAGUUGAGAAGAUAAAUGACUACAUAAUGAGCCAAAUACAAGGUGAAGAGGUGACAUACCUAAGCUUGGACACUAUAUGCAAGGCAACAAUGAAGUACAACACAAUGGAGAAUAUGUGUCCAACGGAGUUCCUUAACAAGAUGACCUUCCCAGGAAUUCCAAACCACGAGCUUAAACUGAAGGUAGGUUUGCCGGUGAUGCUCCUACGAAACAUCAAUCAAGCGGCAGGUUUAUGCAAUGGCACAAGAAUGACUAUCACACAGCUGGAAACAGGUACAUUGAAGCACAAAUAAUCACAGGAACACACGUUGGUGACAAGGUAUACAUACCUAAAAUCAUUAUGUCACCAAGCGACUCGAAGUGGCCCUUCGUGCUGAAAAGAAGGCAAUAUCCUCUAUCAGUUUGUUUUGCAAUGACGAUAAAUAAAAGUCAAGGUCAAUCCCUAAACAAGGUGGGCCUAUAUUUGCCUAAGCAAGUCUUCUGCCAUGGACAACUAUAUGUGGCAUUAUCAAGAGUCACAAACAGAGAAGGAUUAAAGGUGCUGAUCGACGACAAUGAGUGCCCAAGCGAAGAUAGCGCAAAGAAUAUAGUAUACAAAGAGAUCUUCUAAUUCUUUGUUAUUCAAACAAAUGCAUACGAGGGCCAAAUAAUAAUGAUUAUAAACAAUACAAUGUAUGGUUCAAAAGCGUGACAUCCAUAUGUUUGAUAUAUGGUCGGAAACACUGUAUACAAAAAGAUGUUAUAGAUUGGAUUUCUUAUUAAUUCGUAAGCAACAAAUAAGAACAUGACAAUGCAUAGUACUAUUGCCAUACACUUAUUUCAUGCAUAGAGAGUGUGUACAUGUAGCCUACUUUCCACAUGGCCAAAAGUUUUAAAAUCUUAUUACAAAUUAAGAAUAAUAACCACUCUGAUAAACAUGAUUCUCAGAAAUCUCAUUAGACGACAAGAUUUUAUAAGAUUUUAUUAGAUUGCAUUUGUGUGUGUUCAGCAUAUAGCACUGCCUCUACGUGGUAAUUAAGACGCAACGUAAAUCACUGAACUUGAAAACUUAACCUGCAGCUACACGAAUACAUGUCUCACAUUAAGCUCAUGUUUUGCUACAUAGCUCAGUGAAAGUGCAUGUAAACCUCCUUUUUUUACUGUCAAACAAUAAUUAGAUGCAAGGGUCUCUUGCCAAGUUUAGUUAGACUCUAUUCAAGCAGAUCCAUAUGUUUGCUUUACUGUGUUCUCUACUGCAGAAUUCAGAGAACAAGUAUAAUUGCACUUCUCCGCACAGAAAGUUAUGGUAUGAUUUCUGAUUUCACACAAAAAGUUGUUUCGCAAUGGAAAGAUAAAAUCUUAUCUGUUUUCUACAUCAUUCAACUUUACAAAAACUUAUAUGGUUGCAAUAUAACUUAUAUUUGGUAGAAGUACGGACAGCAGGAGGGCGACACCUGAUACGCACCACAUGUCCAGGUCUCGGCAAAAAAUGGCCACCAGCAUGAUAUCCUCCAAGCUUUGGCCAUGGAUGGGCAAGCGAAUUAAUCUGAUACGCCAUAUUCACUACAGAUUGGGUACAUCAUCUCCCAAUGGACGAGCAAGAAACUCAAAUUUGGGCCAACGGCCUCCAUUUCUUUUUUCCCUUAAGGACGAAGGAAAGAAGGAACUGUGUUUUCCCCCUGUACUAAAAACUAAGAAGGAGAGGCGUACUUCCAUUCAGAAAAAAAUUGGUUAAUGAAAUUAUGAUGAACAUUAUUCAAAGCAAGAGGCGAGUGGGAGAGCACAAAGGGAUUCAUACCUGUGAGCACAUCCGCAGCCUAAGACGAUAGGAACCACACACAGAAGAUGGCCCCUGAACCCAACGCCACAUCUAAAUGUCCCAGCGCCAAUGGACUGCAUAGCCAAAAGUGAGAUGUCGCAUCGCUGGUGAACCACGCCUGAUCCGGAGCGCAUGUC
rnacentral:lncRNA from 1 species